UACGGAAAUUAAUGACGUGUUUUGAAAACAGCUCAAAAUUUGCGCCGUUUUUUGCUCACUGCGUUUGUCCUCUUGAAUAUGAAGGCUCUCAUAUAACGGUCUAUUAUAAAAGUAAGUUUUUGAAUGACUAAAUACACUCUUGUUGGAAGUAUUUUAGCUAGAGGAUAAGCUUAAACUUUUCUUUCCAACAUAUGUUUUUACCAAGAUUUUUAUCAUAAACACUUUUAGGCAAAUAUGUUGUGUCUCAUAUUUACGGUAAAUGACUUUGUUUCCCUGUUUCCUUGACCGAAGUUAUCCACUUUGAGUUUGUUAUUUAUGAUAUUACAUUUCCUUUCAUAGAGACCUCUUAAUAUGGGGCAUCACACAAAAAGUGGAGACUGGGAUCAAACGAUGUCUUUCAAAUGCUGUUUUUCAAAAAUAUGACAGCCCCAUGGUUCAUCUACAGAGGUACUUUUUACACUUUGUAAGAUCAAGAGAUUGAAAAUUAAAAAAGAGGUCUAAGAUUUAAUGGAAAUUGUCCAGAAUGUCAACUAUUGCAACAGCCUCAGAGAAAACUUAGGAAUUACAUCAUAUGUUAUCC